CCCACGUAUUCUGAUGAGGAAAUCCUGAUUGGAAUUGACUUCUUUAUUCACCCAACUUAGCCUAACUUCAAAGCCCUAUGAAAACAACCUUUCGAAGGACUUUUAGGAUAUAACGAAACAUCGAAUCGAAAGCUAAGAAUCAAGCCACAAAGUCAUUGAAGCUGAGAAGAAUUUGAAAGAUUCAAGGAGAUUUGGAGAUCAAGAUUACAAUUCUUGGGUUUUUCUAUCUUUUUGUUAUUAUCUUAUUUUCUUGGUUUUGUUUUUAAUGAGUAAACUUUAUUUGAUGAUGAUGUGUGACUUGAUGGGGGACUAAAUUAUUAAUCUAAGAUUAUGAUUGAACUCAAUACGUAAUGUAGUUUUCUUAUCUCUCUUUUGCUUAUGUUUGAUGGAUUUUAGUUGUUUAUUCUAUUUUGUUAAUUCUAUUUUGUUCUUAAUGCUUAUAGUUGAUUGGCCGCCAAUUAGAUUGAAUUAGAAAUCUAAGUUAAACCUUAAACAAGGAAAUUUAGGUAGACCUUGAAUAGAAUAGCGUAUGAUCGAAUACACUUAGUUGAUUAGGUGGUUUUUUUUGCAUAUAGGGUAAACAUACACCUACAAGCCAUACAUAUCUAGUAUUAGAGCACAAACUUAAUGAAUAGUUUUUCAAUUUAAUUUGCAUAGACAUAUAGUAAAUUAAUUGAAAUAUGUAUUUUUAUGAGAAACUCAACAAAGACUUGUAAAUAAUUUAGGACUCUAGGUUAGUAGCUUAAUCCAUUAAACUAAGUUAAAAGAGAGACACAAUAAUCAGAUGAAGUAUUUAGGGACAUCAUAAUCUUAGGUCUGGUAGUCACUUAGAUUUAAUAAAAUAAAUUUUGCUAAUAGAUUUGAGAUUAGUUUUAUUUUUAGUUUAUUAGUUUAUUAGUUUUAAUUAUAAUUUGAAUUGUUUGGAUAAGAUUAAAGUGUGUCAAUUUUAGUACGAUACUUUACUCAUCAUUAUAUUAUCUUUUCGAUACGUAUACUUGUGUGGGUAGAAAAUUGAACAACACCCCCUCAUCACAAAGCACGCCCAAAACCCUAUCAUCUGAACCUAAAAUCUCAAAGAUCUAGCUACUUAAGCCUCCAAAAUGUGUCAAAAUAACUCUAUAUAAUAGAGUUAUCAAACUCCUAACAUACCUUUUCAUAAGAUUUUUCUUGAUAUUUUGCACUUGUGUUAAAUUUUAUUAGUUCCUCAUUCUUAUUUAGUCUUUACUAGAUUUAAUUCACCAUAUCUUUUCAAAAUUCGAUUUCUCAAAUAACAUUAUUGGUUUGAUCAUUUUAUUUGCAUAUUUUUAUCAAUCCUCAUUAGGAACGAUAUCAUACUUAUCUCUUUAUUACGUGAACGAUUACUACACUUACUAGUGUUAUUUUAUUCACAUCAAGUUUUUAAAGUUGUUGUCAGGGAUUAAAUUAAAAAUUUAUAUUUAUUUUGAUUUUACUUGUUCGUUUGAGAGCUUUUAAAUUUCUAUUUUGUUUUUAUUUAUGUCAUGUCUUCUUUCCUAUUGCAUGACACGUGCUAGAAAAGAAGUACUCAAAACAUCUGUCCCAGAAAUUGAGCAUACUCUACAUACCUUGAAGAGAAUGGCAGCCAUACCUAUUGGCAACGUAGGAGAAGAAAACAAUGAAGAGGUAAAGCCACGGCCUCUCAAAGAUUAUGCCAUGCCCUCCAUUGAUGAGGUCGGAUCUAGCAUUUGGAGGCCAACCAUGUCACGACCCAAACCAAAGAGUUCGUGACCAGUGCACGAGCCCAACAGGCAAGCCCACUAGACUCGAGCAAGCCUAAGAGUUCACAACUAUAUAACACAAAGCCAAGGGAUUCUAUAAUCAAAUGUUUACAAUAAAACCAAAUAAAACAUAUUAUCCCAAGCACAUAGUUUAUAUAAAUGUUUAUAGGGCCAUAUGUUGGCCAUCCAAGAUGGGUUCCUACAUAACAACCCUUACAUAAGUUCAUAUGACACAUUGUGCCUACAUACAUAACCAAAGCCAACCUAAUGCAAAAGCUUGUAACGGACUGAGCAGAGUGAAAACAUCAAAAUGGAAACCUACCAAAUGCUAAAAUCGGUUUGUCACGAGGUGACCUUGACCACAUAGCUUUGUGACCUCUUUAUCUGCACAUGGUAUACAAAUGGG
rnacentral:lncRNA from 1 species